rnacentral:lncRNA from 1 species
AUGCUCAUUCCGGCACAUGUAGGACUUGAGUGUGGACUCAUAGUUUCUUCUAUAUAUGUGAUACUUUUCUAUUUCUUUUGUUUUAUUUUUCAUAAUUUAUUCCUGGCAUUUUAGGAAUUUGCACUUGUUUUAGUGCAUCAUUGAUGUGUACACACACACACACACAUAUAUAGAUACACAAUUGAAAAUUUACUGAAAAUUUGCAGCUGUGGUCCACUCAAAGAAUAUAAAGUAGCCUUCAAAAUUAGGUGAGAAGCUAUAGGAGGUGGCCGGAUGUUGAUUCAGAAAACAUGGGAAUGUGGCUGUGGUUUUAGACAAGAAGAUGGAGGAAAAGAAGUCUUAUGGUCACAUCUUAUAAAGCAUUAACUUCAUUUAUUUUAAUUUUGGCAAUAUGCAUUAUGAACAGUGUGGUGAAGAUGAAUAAAAAUCAAGAAGUAAUUCUCUCAUUUAUACAGCCUCUUUUGCUAAGU